GACAGUAGUACUUUCGGCGGGGGAUAGCCGGCCCAACGGCCGGGUAAUACCGCGUACGACCUCUUGGGGACAUCCCCGAGUGGUGAAAGCAGCAAUGCACCGAAAGAGUGCCUCGCGGCCUAUCAGCUAGUUGGUGAGGUAACGGCUCACCAAGGCAACGACGGGUAGCUGGUCUGAGAGGAUGGCCAGCCACAUUGGGACUGAGACACGGCCCAG
rnacentral:rRNA from 1 species